rnacentral:rRNA from 1 species
UAGGGAAUCUUCGGCAAUGGACGAAAGUCUGACCGAGCAACGCCGCGUGAGUGAAGAAGGUUUUCGGAUCGUAAAACUCUGUUGGUAGAGAAGAACGUUGGUGAGAGUGGAAAGCUCAUCAAGUGACGGUAACUACCCAGAAAGGGACGGCUAACUACGGUGCCAC